CGCUACAAAAUGCCAAAGACUCCAGAGAAUUGUGUUUUUUACUUAAUACAUAUGGUGUGCAGUUGGCAUGUGUUUGGUGUCAAUUUUAUAGAGUUUAUAUUGUUUUGAAUGCAGUGUUUUGAUUUUGCAAGAGAUAUUUUGUGAAUAUUGUGGGGUUUUGUGCGUAGUAUUUUGUCAAAGAGAGACAUAAUUUAGGAAACUGUGUUUAAUCAAUAGUUUUUUAAAAAGUGUCUAUAUAACAAUACUGCAGUCACAUGAUACUUGUUAUUUUGUUGCACCAGGUGGCACUAAAGCUCCGUUGCUGUAAAAUGCAGAGGGAUCACAGGUUUUGUUUGAACAGGGUCUUAAACUGAAUUACAUCACUAAUAAUCAUGUUUAAACUCUGUGAGACUCACACAAUCAAAAAAUAUAUACAUGAUACCGUCCAACCUGCUGACUCUCGGUCUGUGAUGUUGGUGUGUUUACGUGGUCUUCUAGUCAUGUGUUUAGUGAGGAGGCGGGGAUUGGAAACCGAAAGUAAGUUUUGACGCAGUUACAUUUUAGUGCUGCGUUCAUGUCUGUCCACAGAAACCAGAGACAUACUGUGGGGGGGAAAGCACGCGUCUUUUGGGUAAAAUUGUGUUUCAGCUGCAGCAGUAGAGAUGGCAGAGAAGAGGAAGACGAGGAAGCGUUCGAUCACCUCAUCCUCUUCUUUGACAUCUGAACAGCCAGUGAGCACCAGCAGUGAGCCAAUCAGUUCACCAAUGAGUGAAGAUGGGUCCUCGACUCUCAGUGGUGUCUCUUUGAAGAGUGAUGCAUCCAUGUUCCAGCCACUCAACUUUUAUGAUGAGAAGUCAAAACCUUUGCUGUUGAGUGGAAGUCAACAGUCCACCGCUCCCAGUGUCUCUAUGGUGAGUGAUGGAUCCAUGUUCCAGCCACUCAAUUUUGAUGAUGAGAAACAAAGACAGCUGACCAGGGAGCCGUCCAGCUGUUCAGUCGGUAAGGAGGUUGUGAGGGAUCCAGUCAAAUCAGUCGGUGGAAAGAAACGCAGAGGAGAUCAUGGAGCCCAGAGAGAUACCGAAGAAGACACUGGGGACAGCAAAGCAAAAAAGAAUCUUAAAGAAGCAAUGAAGAAUAAGUUUACCUUGGUGACUGAAGGUAAUGGUGACCAAAAGAACUCCCUGAACAGAAUCUACACAGAACUCUACAUAACCACUGGAGAGAGUGAAGGUCCACAUGGGGAACAUGCAUUCAGACACACCAAACCUAAACUGGAAAAAAGACUAUCCUCCAAUCUGUUAGUCGACCUCAGUAACAUCUUUAAACCUUUGCCUGGCCAAGAGAAACCUCACAGAACAGUCCUGACGAAGGGCGUUGCAGGGAUUGGAAAAUCGUUUUCUGUGCAGAAAUUCAUUCUUGACUGGGCCGAGGAGAAUGAAAACCAGGACAUUGAUUUAAUUUUCUGUCUUGCUUUCCGAGAGGUUAAUUUGAUUGAAGAUAACAAAUGUUUGUAUGAGCUCCUGACUGAAUUUCACCCUAUGCAAUGCACCCAGAGUUUGAAGGAUUUACUAGAUUUCAACAAAGCCAGAGUCAUGGUGAUCCUGGAUGGUCUGGAUGAAAGCAGACUUCAACUGGACUUCAAGAACAAGACGAUAACAUCUGUUAAUGAAGUAACAUCUGUGAGCAAUCUCCUAGCAAACCUCAUUCAGGGUAACCUUCUUCCUAAUGCUAACCUCUGGAUAACAUCCCGUCCAGCAGCAGCCAAUCAGAUCCCUGCACAGUUUGUCGACAUGGUGACGGAGAUAAGAGGGUUCAGUGACCCACAAAAAGAGGAGUACUUCAGGAGGAGAUUUGAUCAUGACCCGAGCCUUGCUGACAGGAUUAUUUCACACAUUCACUCUUCACAGAGUCUCGAUAUUGUGUGCCAGAUCCCGAUCUGCUGCUGGAUUUCUGCAUUAUUAUUUCAGGAGGUCUUUGGAGGAGACGAGAAAGCUGAAAUCCCUCAAACUCUUACUGAGAUGAUGGCACAUUUUCUGUUUGUCCAGACCAAACGCAGUAACAGAAAGUAUGACAAGAAGAAAGAGGAAAACAAAGAAAGACUUCUGACGAUGCAUCGAGAAUUUCUUCUGAAACUCGGCAAGCUUGCAUUUGUCCAGCUACAGAAGAACAACCUCAUCUUCUACGAUGAAGACCUGGCAGAAUGUGGCAUUAAUAUCAAAGAGGCAAUGAUCUACUCUGGAUUUUGCAACGGAGUUCUUAGGGAAGAAGACGUCUUUUCCCAGAAAAAGGUAUUCUUCUUUGUGCACCUGACAGUUCAAGAGUUCUUUGCAGCUCUUUUUGUCUAUGACUGUUUUACAAACAAAAAUACAAAAGAGCUCGGCGACUUCCUCGAUCUGAAGGACAAACAACAUACUUUAGUUGAUCUUCUAAAAAUGACAGUUGAUAAAGUGUUGGAGAAGGAGAAUGGCCACCUGGACUUCUUCCUGAGAUUCCUCCUUGGCCUUAUGGCUGACUCCAACCGGAGAGUCCUUAAGGGCCUGCUGACAUCACCAGACCCGGGCCAAGAUGCAGACAAGAAAAUCCUGACUCACCUCAAAGCCAUCCGAAGGAAGGCCCUCUCUCCAGACAGUUGUAUCAACCUCUUCCAGACCAUGGUCGAGAUGAGAGAUAACAAAGUCAAAGAUGAGAUUCAAGAAUAUCUCAAAUUGGAAGAUCGUUCAAAGACAGAGCUGACUCCCCUGCACUGCUCUGCACUGGCCUACAUGCUGCAGGUGUCGAAGGAUGAUCUGGAUGUGUUGGACUUGAAGAGUUACAACACAUCAGAUGAAGGCAGAAGAAGGCUGAUACCAGCUGUUAGGAGCAGCAGAAAGGCCAUACUUGCUCACUGCAAAGUGACUGAAGAUUGGGUUGAACACCUGGCCUUUGGUCUCAAGUUCCCCUACUCACCUCUAAGAGAUCUGGAUCUGAGCAGCAAUGACCUGAAAGAUUCAGGGGUAAAACUGCUCUGUGAUGGACUGUCGAGUCAGUGCUGCAGACUGAAGAUAUUGAGUUUGUCAGGUUGUCUGGUCACAGAGAAGGGCUGUGAUCAUCUGGCCUCGGCUCUGAAGUCCAACCCCUCCCAUCUGAUAGAGCUGGACCUGAGCUACAACAAUCUAGGAGACUCGGGAGAGAAACUGCUCUCUGAGCUGAGGAACGAUCCACAAUACAAGCUCAGCGAACUCAAGGUUGAUCAUGGUGGAAUUCACCGGAUGGAACCGGGAUUCAAAAAAUACUCCUGUGAGCUCACGUUGGACCCCAACACAGUCCACAAGAACCUCCGUCUCUCUGAAGAGAACAGAAAGGUGACCUGGGUUGAGGAGCCACAGCCAUAUCCCCAUCACCAAGAAAGGUUCGACCAUUGCCAGCAGGUGCUGUGUAAUCAGGGUCUAAAUGGGCGCUGCUACUGGGAGGUCGAGGUGUUGGAGCCCUUCAACAUUGGGUUAACGUACAAAACCAUCAGCAGGAAAGGGGACGUGAGUGAGUGUAAGCUGGGUCGCAACGACAAGUCUUGGUGUCUGAUUUGCUCUAAUGAAGGUUGUUAUGUUCUGCACCACAAUAAGAGUGUCAAUGUAUCUUCCUUUUGCUCGCGCUCCAGUCGGGUGGGAGUGUAUCUGGACUGGCCUGCUGGAACUCUGUCCUUCUACAGAGUUUCUUCUGACAGUCAGACACGCCUCCAUACCUUCAGAGCAAAGUUCAGUGAGCCACUCUAUCCUGCUGUUGAACUUCACACUCAUUCCUCUGCGUCAUUUUGUCAGCUAACGUAACCAAACUUUCACUGCAUUCGCACGAGCAACUAAGGGCGUAGAUUUGCCUGUGGAUGGUCGGGACACAUCCCAUACAAUCAAGGGAUUACUGAAUUGUUCUUACCAACAUGUUUUGCAAUCUCGUCUUGUGUCAUUUUAGAAAACACACAGGAUUAAAUCCCUUAGUAUCAGGCAUGAGUAAAGUCGCCAGGGUUGUCCCUGCAGAGACAGACAGAGGCCAAAAUAUAUAGAGGACUAACACCCCAGCAUGCUAUAAGCUGUGCAAGUAUAAGAGGGAGUUUGAAACAGUUUGCAUGCCUGAUUUAGCAUGCUGAACUAGAGGAAGUAUGAAAGCUGUCGGACUAGUUGUUUAACCUAGUCAUUCGAUGAUUCUGCCUACAUAGUGCAGUUUCUUCAACAACAGGGAUCAUUUGAAGACAAAACAAAAAAGAAAUGUAUUGGCAUGUGCCUCCUGGGUGCCACUCUCACUGAAGUGAAUGGGAUGCCAUUUGGAAACAUCCAGUUUGCUUUAAGUUGCAGAGAGUCGUCAGUAAUGUAACACGUUACUGAGAAAAAUGUGGGUCAAAGGAUGGUUUUCCUUGAGACUGCUUUAAAAUUCAAUGGUUUAUAGAUUAUAGGUAAUUUUCUUGAAACAGUGACACAGUUGCAUUGUUGACUGUUUUUGCUUCUUUUUUCAUGUAUUGUAAUAUUAUAAAAAAUAUUGCUAAAAAUAUUCCCAAAAUACAAAUAAAAAAUCCAUAAAAAGAAAUUUGCUCAUAUUAAGAAGUUUUUGCACAAUCAGGAUUUGAUGAUUUGGCGUGUGAAAGAGAGGACAGGAACACAAACACAUUAGUGUGGGUUUCAAAUGUGUCUCUACCAGCCUUAAAACCAAACCUACGCCCUGAAACCUGAUGUUUCUAUUUCAGUUUCAUCUAUUUGUUUAAAAUGUUUGCUAUCAUUUCUAUAGAAAGUCUAAACUCACAGAUGUUUUUCCUCAAUCAGAAGCUUCUAAUAUUUUUUGUGUUUCUGUUUUAUUGUUUAAGAUUAAAAUGAUUGACUUGUGUAGAUUUGACCAACUUUUAAAUGUACAGAUUUUCAACUUAUGUUGUUCAUGUUUGCCCAAUUUUGGGGGUUUUAUCAUUAAGUUUUUUGUUGUUUAUGUGACCAACUUUUGGUUUUUCGAGUUUAACGGUGGGGUAAAUGAUUCCGGGAUGCUGAGACAUCCAAUACGAUGACAAAAUGCCACGAUUCAGUGCAAAUAACUACACAGCCUGUAGUGUAACUUACGUUAGCUGCGUUGUGGGUUUGCAAACAGUCAGUAGCGUUGCAGCUGCACAGCAACACCAGCUCCAGACAGCGAUACUCACAACUCUCCUGCUACUAUAUACGCUGGGAAACAAGAAAGUAAGCUGAAUGUUGCUUAGCCCCACGUUUAAGUUUUGGUUGUUGUUUUUUGACCAACUUUUGGGUUUUGAUUAAGCAGACGGGAACAUUGUAGAUGAACAGUUUGCUGUAUUAUGUUUGUUUAAUGGUUUAAGGUACAGGAAUAUAUAUAAGUAUGGUUUUGGUCUUUUUAAGUUAGCUGCUUUUUAUUUUUUAUUCUAUAUUCUAUUAAUUAUUCUUACCACCUUGAUUUUUAUUAAUGCUUCAGUUUAUUUAGCUGUAUUUAUUUUCCAGAUAGCUCUGGCUUGUUGUGCCUAGUUUUACAGGUCCAGAUACAUCUCUGUGUUUAGAUGUUACGUCUGACAAUGGGAAAUACAAAGAAUAUGUCUUUUUGUUAUGUUGAGGACUCCAGCUGCUCUAUCCUUCAUCUAUUCUUUCAAAGUUCACAACACUGUCCACUUACAGUAAUGUAGCUCAAAUGUUUUGUACCUUUGCACUUUAAACCUACCAACACAGUGGCACAGUGCUGGCUCCAUUUUACUCUAUUGAUUCCAUCUUUAUUUUUAUCUAUGUUUAUUUUUGGAGGCGUUCUCACAUCUACUGUAUAUAUAUCUGUAUAAAUAGCUGCUUGUCUUGUCCAUUAAAAUAGGAUGCAAUAAGCUCACAGCUCAGUUAAAGGAUAAGUGUCAGCUCCAAUAAUGAGUUAUUAACAGCUUUAAUUGAAACACAUUGGUAUCAGUACUAGUCUUUAUGUCUGUUUAGCUGUAUUAGAGUUUACUUUUUACAGUUGCAGUAUGUAUUGUGUUUAAGUUGUGUCCUGAAUACUGUGUUUUUUUGUGUUUGUAUGUUUGUUUAAGUGGUUUUAACUUUAGUGGGAAAGUCUGAUGUGGGAGUUAUAUUUCCUAUAGUACUGGUAUAAUGGUGGAGAUGUGCUUUUGGGUUUGGAAAUAAGAAUUUUCACUUUAAAAUGUUGGUUUUAGCAUUAAGCUCAAAGCAGUGCUGUGUCUACUGUACGUAUCGCCUCACAGAGCUACUAGAAUGACUGCAGACUCUGAGUCUGUGUUAAUAUAGACCUGCUACAUUAAAAUGAAAAGAAAUAAGACAUCAGUUCAAGUCACAUACUUCUCUCCCUCGACUGGCUGUUAAAUUAUGGCCUAUCGCCCCCAAAAAUGAUCUUAAUCAUACUUGUACCAACAUCACAUUUCAACAAUUUUGACCAUAUUUCAGCUUUUGCUUUAACUUUUGUUUAAGCUGUGUGCAUACAUAUGUGUGUUCUUAAUUCUGUGGAUUUGUGUUGUGUAUGUAAAAGUCGUUGUGGUAAUAAAUAUCACAUUUUCACUGUUAAGCACCUUGUAAUGUUCCAAAGUACAAAACUGAGUCUUUAUGAUGGCGGCAUAUUUUGUGGCUGAGAAAUUAAGAUUCCAAAUCAGUUCAGAUUGUACAUGUUCGAAAUUAAAAAUGCAUAUGUCAUGGAUUCAUAUACAGUAUUAUUUUACCAUUACGUUGAUGUUUCUGAUUGUUUCUCAACAUUUCCAAUUAACAUUUUUAAUAAAAAAUUAAAUCAUUUACUGAA